CGUUUGUUACAUUUGGAUCACGCGCGCACUGUCCUAGUUCAGCCAGCCGCCCGCGCCAGAGAGAGCCGAGGUCGACUCAUCCCGAAGUAGCUGACGGUCGACUCACCCCGAAGAAGCUCAAAUGUCCUUCUCUUUCGUGAGGAUUUCGCAACUAGCAAAAACUCAGUGCAGUGGAAUGCCCGGAGGUCCUGGUCAACAAAAGAAAAGGGAAGUGACCGAACCUGAAGAAGUCAAACUACUGUCCGGAUUCUCCACAAGGGCAAAAUGCUGGAGUGAUGGAGGGGCAUUUAGAUGGAGGUAAUGAAGAAAGACCCAGACAACACAACAGUGGAUGAAGUGAUGUCUGCUACUUUCUCGCUUCGCCGUAAAGAAACAGUUGGGGAUCAACCCAUGGUUGCCGACAGCAUGGAGAGAUGGCCGGCCAUGUUUUCUGAACGACAGGCCCAUGGUGACACACUUGGAGAAGCAACGAAAGACAUCCACCUUGGAAUUCUGAUUAGCUACGAAGUCAACCCGGAGGGAGCCUUUCCAGCAGCUUGUUUCGGAAGUU